rnacentral:rRNA from 1 species
UAGGGAAUCUUCCACAAUGGACGCAAGUCUGAUGGAGCAACGCCGCGUGAGUGAAGAAGGUUUCCGGACCGUAAAGCUCUGUUGUUGGUGAAGAAGGAUAGAGGUAGUAACUGGCCUUUAUUUGACGGUAAUCAACCAGAAAGUCACGGCUAACUACGUGCCAGCAGCCGCGGUAAUACGUAGGUGGCAAGCGUUGUCCGGAUUUAUUGGGCGUAAAGCGAGCGCAGGCGGAAGAAUAAGUCUGAUGUGAAAGCCCUCGGCUUAACCGAGGAAUUGCAUCGGAAACUGUUUUCUUGAGUGCAGAAGAGGAGAGUAGAACUCCAUGUGUAGCGGUGGAAUGCGUAGAUAUAUGGAAGAAUACCAGUGGCGAAGGCGGCUCUCUGGUCUGCAACUGACGCUGAGGCUCGAAAGCAUGGGUAGCGAACGAGGAUUAGAUACCCUGGUAGUCCAUGCCGUAAACGAUGAGUGCUAAGUGUUGGGAGGCUUCCGCCUCUCAGUGCUGCAGCUAACGCAUUAAGCACUCCGCCUGGGGGAGUACGACCGCAAGGUUGAAAC